ensembl:lincRNA
AUGAAUUGCAGGGUGUUUAUUACUGUGGAAAAGAUGGGCAUCACCCCUGAAGCAGACACAGAGAAUCAGGUGACACGAAGACAAAGCCAGCUGGAUCACUGCAAGAAGUGUCCUCAGGUGACCCAGGCUCUUCCACGAGAAAACAAGAAUGUCCUCACUGCUGCAAACAACAGAAGGCCAACAAAGACCGAGGCCUCUCAUAAUUUUUCUGCUGGGUGUGGAAGAGUGCCAUCAGAAGAUGAUUCAUGAGAAGAAUUUGCCUGGAAGUGAAUGGAAAAAACUUAGUGGAAAAAAAAAUUCCAGCAAUGCAUACUGAAGACACAUAGAAUCAAAUUUAUAUCUUUAGCACUGGGAAUCCACAUUCAUUAUUUUUCUCACUUAGCUUGAGAAGGGGUAAAAAAUCUGGCCACCAAACUCUUGCUGGAUUAUAUGUAAUAUUUUUGUCUGUACAUUACAGUCUGGGCCAUUAUGGGAGCUAAUAUUUACUCUGUACUCCUCGACCUGUAUGUGCUUUGUAUGCUUUAACUGAUUUUAACCAUGAAUUUGGGUACUAACAUUAACCGAUGAGGGCUGGGGAUUUAGCUCAGCGGCAAAGCGCCUGCCUGGCAAGCGCAAGGUCGUGAGUUCGGUUCCCGGUACCGGAGAAAAACCACAAAAAACAAAACAAAACAAAACAAAAAAACAAAAAACAUUAACCGAUGAGCAAAUAUCUUGGCAAAAGCAAGGAGAGUAGUGUACAUUGUUGAACUUAACCCUUCAGGAUCUUGGCACCUUUGUUUAUCAGAUGGGUACAUUGCAGCAGCAAUGACCUGGUAUCAACUUGGUAUCUUACAACUCAAUUCAAUUCAGACUAAUUACUUAGAGUUAACACAGGUUGAAGGACAAUGUGCCCAACAAUAUUGCCCUUCCUUCUAAUGCCAGCUGCAAGUGGGGUCCUGAACCUACUCACACUUUUGUCCAACAUGGGAACAAAUUGGAGGCUCUGCUGACUUCCUCUGAUUCAAGAAUCCAGUAGUACUGUGCAUGAAACUCAGGAAAGCAUUAUAUUUACUACUACUACUUCAUUAUAAAGGAGGUAAAUGAAUAGUCAGAUAAAGAAGUCCACAGGGCAAGGUCUUGAUGGUUCCAUAUCUGGUGCAGGACUUCCAGGCUCUGAAGGAUCCUUCACGGAACCACAUGUCUCUCUUCCAACACAAGGGUGUAUUCACCAUCCAAGAUCCUCUCUGAGCCUCCUUCUUUCAGGGUUUUAUCAAGAUUUAUAUGUAAGGACGAUUGGUGCAAUCAUUGGUCAUUAGUGAUUGAGUUGAACUUCCAUCCCUGGCCCCUCUCCUGAAGUUGAAAGGUGGAGCUGAAAGUCCAAACUUCUAAUCUUUUUGCUGGUUUUUCUGGGGAGAAGCCUCCAACCUGAAGCUAUCUGCUUCCUUGUCCCCAAGUGAAUGACCUCAUUAACAUAAACUUAGGUAUGGUUAAAAUGAGAUCAUUAUGAAUAGCAAAAGAUAUUCUUAGCAUUCACAAAAUCCCAAGGGUGUUUGAAGCUCUGUACCAACAUCUGAGGAUAAAGACCAGUUGAAUUUUUAAUUAUAGCACAGUGAAUCAGAACAGAUAGACUCCAACCAGGACCGACACUGCCUUUCCGCUUUGUGAAUUCAAACUGCCUCAACUUCAAGAGGUGGAUCUGUUUCCCCUUCCUUGAAUGACACUUACUUUGGCUAACAAAAUUGACGUUCUACAACUUCUCUACUCAAGGCUUAAAAGAACUAUGGAGUAGCUUUUAUUCUUUUUUUCUCUUUUGGAAUGUUCCCUUUUGGAAGCCAGCGGCCAUGCUUUUGGGACACUCAGGUUAGGUGUUUGAAUGAGCAGGGAUUACACUCAGAGAGUAUAUUUCAGUGAGCCCAGCAGUAUCAUCUGGAGAGAUGGAGGCUCCCAGCUAGUCUAAGUCAACUUAUAGCACUGUGAUAAAUCAUAAGUUGCUGUAGUUUGAAGCCAGUAAGUUCGGUAUAGUUUGUUAGAUAAUUGGACAUUUAGAUCUUGAGGGUUUUGUACUUUGGCAACAAAACCUCACAAAAUAGCCUUCUCAGAAGCUUCUUAGUUAUGUAGAGUUUUGUUGCACAUAAAAGAGUGUUAAAGUCAGGCUCAGCAUAGAAAAGUUUUUAGAAGAACAUGUCCUAUGUUCAUAAAUUACAAUAUUAGGCCCGGUUGGUUCAUUUUGAUUGUAAUUUCUCCAAUGUUUCUCUUAUUUUCCUGAUACUUUCUUCUAGGCACUUUGCUGUGUCCUGGGUCACUCAUUUUGUAAGCCUAAUUAAGGUCUAACUAUAAAUUAACAAAACUUUUCCUAAACAUCUCCCCAAGGAUGUACUCUUCCAAAUAGAUUUUGUUUGUCACUCUAGUCAGAUUUUCAGUGCCUACAUUUUGUAGAACUCUAUAUGCAAAGAUCCAUCAGUGCAGUGGUAUUUAGCAAAGAGAAAAAAGAAGGAAGGAAGGGAAGAAGGAAGGAAGGAAGGAAGGAAGGAAGGAAGGAAGGAAGGAAGGAAGGAAGGAUGGAUGGGAGAAAGGGAGGGAAGAAGGUAGUUUACAUUCUCUUAAUAAAUUCAAGAGUAUAGACUCUGAUUGGCAGAAAUGUACUCUAUGCAGUCCCUUGCAUUAUGGGGCUCUGUGAUCUUCUAGGGCAUAUUAGGUGCCGGAUUCCUAUGUCCUUGGUGGACGGAAAAGGUCACUGAGGAGCUGGGUGCAAUAUUUUCCACCAAAGUCCAAAAAUAACACACACCACGUCCAUUUUCCACUGAGAACCCAGACAUGGGCCACACCUGGAUAACACUAGCCAGGCAGCCGCAUGCCCAGUGUCAUUUUAUUAUUAUGGAAGCCACAUUCUGGGCUUGCACAUAUUACUACAGGAGAAGAAAGAAUAAAUUUUGGUUGAUGAUUAGAGAUAUGUGCUGCAGACAUGUUGCAGUCUUUCAAGGCAAUUUAAAAAAUUAGUACUUCAAAAUUAAAAGAACAGUAGGAGCAGCCUUGUAAUGAUUAGACUAGCUAUCAGCAAGUCUAAUACUUUAAGGGGUAUACUCCAUUUUCAAAAAUGUAUAACAUUCAAAUAUUUGUUCUAAAAGGCCAUGAUGUCAUGUUCAUCAUUCCUAAUAUUUUACCCUUUUCAUGACUUCUCUCUUUAAGAGUCAGGACUAAGAGUGGCCACGGCUUAGCACCUUUAAGUCCCAAAGAGACGUGGAGUAACUGGGACACAGCUGUCCACAUUCGUCCUGCUAGUUCCAGAAAUGCCUCUUUGAAUGAUUAUGCCGAGCUGUUUCCUCCUGAUCUCAGCUCCUAACAGCUCUGAUCCUGCCUUGUAUUUUCACCACCGUUAACUCGUGAGGGAAAUUUGCAUCCCUUCUUCUUAUUUGGUGUUACUUAUGGGUUACCACACAGCCAAUGGACAGAUUUGAUUCAGUGGCAUGCAUUUAAAUGUUUAAAAUAUGCAGUGUUCAAGGGAUGCCAUUUCACUCAGCACUCAGUGCUAACAUCAUUUUUUGAAAUGCUCCCCAUUUCUACAAUGUAGCCAAAGCUUUAUUUAUCAUCAUAUUUGCAUUUUGUGAUGUAUUCUUGAACCAGCCAAACUCAUCUAAAAGCAAGCUCAUUUAAUGCAAAGUAGAUUUAAAUGUGACUGCUUUAAAAUGGACCACCCUGCUUAAAUGAUCCUCCGGAUGUAAUUAGAAGAAACUUCAGUUUUGCGCAGAGGAAAAAAGGCGAUUUAAAUGAUUUCCCUCUCCCUGGGUAAUUUUUUGACCAUGCACCAAUAAAACUGCUUAUCAUGAAAUGAUUUAUUUUUGAUGCAACUUUCCCACAAACAGUUUAGCGGGAGGUAGUUUAGGAAUGAUACACCACAUUUGAACAGACAUGGAAAGCGUGUAACAAACCACGUUUACGGUUUUGUUCCUUUUUUAGACAAGAGAAGAAAAAAAGAAGAAAGGAAGGAAGGAGAAAAAUGAAAAAAUAGUAUAGUUGUGAGGUGAUUUGUGUGCUAAUUUUGACUUAUAUUCAAAAGUAUCUUGUUAGUUCAUGAAUGAACUGAGAUUCUGUCACCCUAAUUCAACUUCCGUCCCAGCCACCAUGAUUGAUAGCAAUGCUACUGGGAGUUACUCACAUAAAAGAUCAUGAUCCAAAUAGGAUCUGGUAGUAUUAGCAUGCUUGUCAAAUCUCCUACCCUCUACACAAUGGAGAAUCUUGAGACACAGCUGCCUUUCCAAAACAUAGAUGGAGCCAAGCUUGGUGCCUACCAUUAAAAAUAAAAGCCCAUUAAACUUUCAGGACAUGCUUGCACAUUUUUGGGUGCCACCAAGUUUUCAAGAUUUGAGCCAGUUCAGUGGUAGCACCAGCCGACCAGCGUCUCCUAGGCAAUGUAAGUAGUUGUCAUGGAAACCCCAGAGCUGCACCCAUCAACAGCUUUACAAUUUUGACAGUUCAGAAAGUGACUAUUUAAGAAUUUCAAUUAGAGCAAAAAUAUACACAUUAAGAUGAAAAAAAUGCUUAAUAAGUCUAUCGGAAAUUAUUUAGAUUUUUUUUUUUUAAUCAGAAGGCAAAUUCUUAAAUACAUUCUCCAAAGGGGAAAUGGAUUUCAAGGAUAAUUAAAAACCACUUGGUAAAGGAAAAAAAAGAUCUUAAAGUUCCUGUAUUCCCUCUUCUUUCUUGGAAAGGAAAUAAGCACCAAGAAUAAAUAAGUUGUGAAAAAUGAUCAGCGGAUUUUUGAACAUGGUAGCCACAAUAUGCCAUGGUUGUUAACAUAGAACUUGUGCAUAUUAUUAAGAAAUAUUUUAGAAUUUUGUUUUUGCCAAUUCUUUGUAUUUGUGUAGUUCUGGCAGUAUCGUCUUUCUUGCAGCUCUGCUACAGGACUUAGAAUGCUUCUUUCAUCUUUAGGGAAAGGGAGAUUGAGGCUCUUGAGAAUGGGAAAUAGGCUUCUAGCCUUGGAUUCCAAAGCAGAAUCACACUGCAGUCACUACGGGCCUCAGUCAGCCUUGAACUCCUGAACAACAACCAUUGCUCAAAUGAAAACAGUGAUGUUAACACGUCCUUCCCUGCGAACUCAGGCUUCGUGAAAAAAAUAUAUGAGGCAAUUUAAGGACAAUAACAACAAAGAUACUGGUGUGUGAUUGUUAAUGAUGAUAAUAUGAAUGUGCAUUGUUUAAUUCUAAUUCUAAUACUAGUACAAUAAAAGGACAAAAUUGC